rnacentral:lncRNA from 1 species
CAUCCCUGUGUCCCUGGUAUGAAUCCCACCUGAUCCUGAUGUAUGAUUGUUUUGAUGAAUUGCUGAAUUCUGGUUGCCAAAAUUUUGUUUAGAAUUUUUGCAUCUAUGUUCAUCAGUGAUAUUGGCCUGUAGUUCUCUUUUUUCGUGAUGUCCUUGUCAGGUUUUGGUAUCAGUGUGAUGUUGGCCUCAUAGAAUGUGUUAGGAAGUGUUCCAUCUUCCCUAAUUUUUUGGAAUAGCUUGAAAAGGAUGGGUAUUAAAUCCUCUCUGAAAGUUUGGUAGAAUUCCCCAGGAAAGCUAUCUGGUCCUGGGGUCUUAUUCUUUGGGAUGUUUUUGAUUGCUGUUUCAAUCUCUUUCCUUGUGAUUGGUCUGUUCAAAUUGUCUGCCUCUUCUUGAGUGAGCUUUGGGAAACUGUAGGAGUCCAAGAAUUUAGCCAUUUCCUCUAGGUUAUCCAUUCUGUUGGCAUAUAGUUUUUUGUAGUAUUCUCUUAUAAUCCGUUGUAUUUCUGCAGAGUCUGUUGUUAUUUCUCCUCGCUCAUUUCUGAUUUUGUUUAUUUGAGCUUUCUCCCUUUUUUUCUUUGUAAGUCUGGCUAGUGGUUUGUCAAUUUUAUUUAUCUUCUCAAAAACCAGCUCUUUGUCUCAUUGAUCCUUUCUACUGCCUUUUUCGUUUCAAUAGUAUUUAUUUCUGCUCUGAUUUUUAUUAUUUCUCUCCUUCUGCUGACUUUGGGCUUCAUUUGUUCUUUUUUCUCUAGUUCAGUUAGGUGUGCUUUAAGGUUGCUUAUUUGGGAUUUUUCUUGUUUGUUAAGAUGUGCCUGUAUUGCGAUGAAUUUUCCUCUUAAUACAGCUUUUGCUGUAUCCCGUAUGAGUUGGUAUGGCAUGCUGUCAUUUUCAUUUGUUUCCAGGUAUUUUUUGAUUUCUUCUUUAAUUUCUUCCAUGAUCCAUUGCUUGUUCAGUAGUGUGUUGUUUAGUCUCCACAUCUUUGUGCCUUUCUCAGCUUUUGUCUUGUAAUUAAUUUCUAGCCUUAUAGCACUAUGAUCUGAGAAGAUGCUUUAAAUUUUUUUAAAUUUGUAGAGGCUUGCCUUGUUUCCCAACAUAUGGUCUAUCCUAGAGAAUGUUCCAUGUGCACUUGAGAAGAAUGUGUAUUCAGCUCCUUCAGGGUGGGUGAUCUAUUAAAUAUCCUCUUUGGCUGGUG